CCAUCCCCACUCCCCUGCCGCCGCCGUCCAUCCCCACCUCCCUGCUGUCGCUCCACCACCUAUGCCCCCGCCGCCGUGCCAUCGCUGCCCUCGUGCUCCAGCGUCACCCUCGUCCUCGCUGCCCUCGUCCUCACGCUUCCCCCACCCCACCGACACAUGUUCCCUACCAUCGCCGGGGUCGCAGCCGCCGAUAGACCGACCCCGAGAUCCGUCCGUCCACCGUCCCCAACCCCAUUCCACGUCCCCGAGCCCUCGACCCCAUCCCCUCCUUCCUUCCUUGCAGUCACAGCCGCCGAGAGCUCCGUCCGCUGCCGCGUUCACCGACCAGCCCCCUCCCCCACCCCCAAGAUGAAGUGAAUGCCGCUUAGGGAUUCUAGCGCCACCGCCAACCACCAUCGGAGACUGCCAUCCGCAAGCGCCAGCAUCGCCAUAACUACCGAAUCACCUCGGGCUGGUGGGAGUGGGCGUUGCUAGGUAAGCACCGAUGGUGGGAUCCCCAAUUUGUUUUCUUUGUUCUUGUUCUUCCAACCGUGACUAGCACCCUGUGUCUCUAGUAGAUCGAACUACAAGUUUGCUGCAACUUUGGAGUUGUAUUGUUGGUAGUUGCUGUGGAGUAGUUUGGACAUGUUGUUGAUCUGAAGCAUAACCUGAUCCCUUCUCACUUAAUCAGCCCCUUUUUGUUUAAGAAGAGCGUGUAGUAUUACAAAGGUUACUACUUCGAUCUGUAUACCACUGAGAAGCAAAGCAAUCAUACCUUGUUUUAUUUUCUAAUUGUUUUGCCCGAUCGACGGCUAGCGGGACAUGGUACUUUAGUUCUUGAAUUCUAGGCUUGCAAGUGUCUGAAUUCUAGGUCUGCAUCAGCAUCAUAUGUUAAUCAGAUAUAUGUGUAACCAGCUAUACUGAUGAUAUUUCUAUAAUAAAUAGUAAUUCUGGAGUACCACUUCUUUUUGUAGCUAGCAUGUAGGCUAUAAGCUCUCGUUGAUGCUAUAGAUGGUCAGGUCGGUUUCAAUUUUUUCCGGACAAAAUUAGAUUCCAACCUAGUUUGUAGGAGGUUUGGUAGAUAUACAAGUCACUAUAAAAAAGUCAGUUGCACAGUCAAAUGACUGAAGUGAAAUAUUCUCAUUGGAGAAAUUUGCAACUGUUACCAAAUUGCAAAUGCAGAAUGAGAUAAUUGUAAGCUUAACACUGCAGAAUCAACGUUUUAUAAAUAUUGUUGGAUUAUCAAGUAUGCAGUAGGGGAUAAAUUUUUAACGGCUGCCUAUAAUGUCAACAUUGUCUAGGCAAAUAACAUGUUCUUUUCCGUUAUUUUUUUCCUUGAGAUGGUAAUACAUUUUAAUACGUCGCCUCAAAAUCUGGAAGACGAAAGUCAUUCAUUGAUACAAGUUUGUUUGCUGUGUUCCCUCCCUGUCAUUUAAACCCGCCAUUCGCUGAGUAAUUAUGGAUAAAAUUGUUGAUCUUCUCUUGUACAGUUUGGUUCAAGCACUUGUGUUUAUGGAGAAAAUUUACACUAGCUUGCACCCGUGGUCAAACAUUUAGGUCAAAAAUGCACCUGCUGCAUGGCCUAUUCCUUCAAUUUGUGCAGUAAGAUAAUGUGAUGAAUCAUUCAUUCAUAUAUUCAUAUAUGUGUUCAGAUGCUUCUUUCCAAACAUAUAAAAUGUGUUCAGAUGCAUGUCUUCGUUCAUGUUUUUCAUUUUUUCUUGGGACAGAAAAGUAGUAUGUAAUGCACGUAUCUCCAGAUGAGAUAGGAGAUAGAUAUAUUUAUGUGUCAGAUACUACUGUCUGACUAUUCGUGGUAAUAAAUAUUGGUGUUAAGUAGAAUCUCCAUUUUUGUUCCCAUCAUAGGACCAUUAAACAGUCCGAUGCGAGCCAUAUAUUUGAUAUUAAGCAAGUUGUCUGUGGAUGUUCAAUACCCACCUAAUUUGAGCUCCCCGUUUCCUUAUGCAGGUGCCAUAUAAUAAUGUUUGUGAACUAUGGACCUAUUGGGUAUGCUGGUGGUGGUGGUGGCAGGUACCAAAACAACAAGGUUCUUUCCUGAUGUCCUGCUUAUUGGAGGGGGGGGAUGAUGUAGCAUCGAUCACUAGUAGGCCAAGGGUGGUUGAUACAUGUCUUCACAUUUUUCAGAGCAACAUGCAGUGGAAGAAGCAGCCUAUGAACUGAAAUAGUUUGCAUAAGAAAUAGGCGAUGUACUCAGCCACCUACUACACAUGGAUGUGAUGACUUCAGAGUGUUCUGCAGCAUUUGGCUGUUUGCAGUAUUUUGGACCAGCCAACUUGUGGUCAUGAAUCUUAUGUCUGUUUUGGACCAUUUGGUGCUUCAAGUGUUUUGGAGUAUAUAUCUUGUGCUCAUGGGUGUGAUAUAAGUGUUUUGGUUCAUUUAAUGUUAGAACUCUUUUAGAACAGCAAAUAGUGGUCCCUUUAUGUGGCUUGUGUUUUCUCGAUGGUGGUCAAAAUGGCCAAACUUUGCUAUGUAAGGACUGUCUUGUUUUUGAACUUCUGAUCAA